rnacentral:lncRNA from 1 species
CAGCACCUCUUUCUCUGCCCAAUUGAGGGGAACAAAAGGGUGUUCACAGAUGGAGCGAGCUUGCAGCCGCGUGGCUGUGCUGCUCUGUGAGAAGGCGUGCCAGCCAUUAGGAAGCCCCACCGCCAAAGGAGGUGCACCCAGGAGGGUCCUCAGAAUCAUGGACUUCUACCCCAUUGCUGGUAGACAAUUUUCAUCUCUGCUGGUGGUGGCCUCUUGUUGACUCUGAAACUUGUCACCUUGUCACCAGCUAGAUGUCAAGACUUGGCUGCCCUCUGAUGUGGGUGCUUCUGCCCCUUCCCUGUUCUAACUGUCCGACAGGCUCCCAGUCUCUGUGUGUCCAGGCCAGAGGACCAGCACUCAGGAGAGUCUGCCUUUGGAUUGAGUUCCCAAAUUAGAGUCAUCGCACCAGGGUGCAAUUUUAAUUUAAAAACUUAAAAGACUUUUCUAACUUC